GCACUUGGCUGAACCAGAUAUACUCAAAACGUGUGUGCUGCUUAUGAGAGCACCACCCACAUUUCAAAAGUCCACAGCAGCUGGGACAGAGUCACCUCACAGCUGGAAACACAGACACUUGGAAGGCUCUGCUUGGACAGAGACGGUGAAGGUCAUUUCUAACCACAGAAGAUUGGCCACACUGCCGUGAGACUAAGACCACCAUAGUAUAUCCUAUCCUGCUUAUUCAGGGCCUACUGUGGUUGAAUGAAAAUAUACAUGGA
rnacentral:lncRNA from 1 species